GGGGUUGUCGCGUAACUUGGCAGCGCAGCAGGCUCCAGACCUGCGAGUCUGGGUUCAAAUCCCAGCAACCCCA
rnacentral:tRNA from 1 species